GACGAACGCUGGCGGCGUGCUUAACACAUGCAAGUCGAACGGAAAGGCCCUGCUUUUGUGGGGUGCUCGAGUGGCGAACGGGUGAGUAACACGUGAGUAACCUGCCCUUGACUUUGGGAUAACUUCAGGAAACUGGGGCUAAUACCGGAUAGGAGCUCCUGCUGCAUGGUGGGGGUUGGAAAGUUUCGGCGGUUAGGGAUGGACUCGCGGCUUAUCAGCUUGUUGGUGGGGUAGUGGCUUACCAAGGCUUUGACGGGUAGCCGGCCUGAGAGGGUGACCGGCCACAUUGGGACUGAGAUACGGCCCAGACUCCUACGGGAGGCAGCAGUGGGGAAUAUUGCACAAUGGGCGGAAGCCUGAUGCAGCAACGCCGCGUGCGGGAUGGCGGCCUUCGGGUUGUAAACCGCUUUCGCCUGUGACGAAGCGUGAGUGACGGUAAUGGGUAAAGAAGCACCGGCUAACUACGUG
rnacentral:rRNA from 1 species